rnacentral:rRNA from 1 species
AUUGAACGCUGGCGGCAGGCCUAACACAUGCAAGUCGAGCGGAUGAGAGGAGCUUGCUUCUCGAUUCAGCGGCGGACAGGUGAGUAAUGCCUAGGAAUCUGCCUGGUAGUGGGGGACAACGUUUCGAAAGGAACGCUAAUACCGCAUACGUCCUACGGGAGAAAGCAGGGGACCUUCGGGCCUUGCGCUAUCAGAUGAGCCUAGGUCGGAUUAGCUAGUAGGUGAGGUAAUGGCUCACCUAGGCGACGAUCCAUAACUGGUCUGAGAGGAUGAUCAGUCACACUGGAACUGAGACACGGUCCAGACUCCUACGGGAGGCAGCAGUGGGGAAUAUUGGACAAUGGGCGAAAGCCUGAUCCAGCCAUGCCGCGUGUGUGAAGAAGGUCUUCGGAUUGUAAAGCACUUUAAGUUGGGAGGAAGGGUUGUACGUUAAUACCGUGCAAUUUUGACGUUACCGACAGAAUAAGCACCGGCUAACUCUGUGCCAGCCGCCGCCGUAAUAC